CCUACGGGAGGCAGCAGUGGGGAAUAUUGCACAAUGGGGGAAACCCUGAUGCAGCGACGCCGCGUGAGUGAAGAAGUAUUUCGGUAUGUAAAGCUCUGUCAGCAGGGAAGAAAAUGACGGUACCUGACCAAGAAGCCCCGGCUAACUACGUGCCAGCAGCCGCGGUAAUACGUAGGGGGCAAGCGUUCUCCGGAUUUACUGGGUGUAAAGGGAGCGUAGACGGCAGGGCAAGUCUGGAGUGAAAGGCGGGGGCUCAACCCCCGGACUGCUCUGGAAACUGCCAGGCUUGAGUACUGGAGAGGCAGACGGAAUUCCUAGUGUAGCGGUGAAAUGCGUAGAUAUUAGGAGGAACACCAGUGGCGAAGGCGGUCUGCUGGACAGCAACUGACGCUGAGGCGCGAAAGCGUGGGGAGCAAACAGGAUUAGAUACCCCUGUAGUC
rnacentral:rRNA from 1 species